rnacentral:rRNA from 1 species
GGGGAAUAUUGCACAAUGGGCGCAAGCCUGAUGCAGCCAUGCCGCGUGUAUGAAGAAGGCCUUCGGGUUGUAAAGUACUUUCAGCGGGGAGGAAGGUGUUGUGGUUAAUAACCACAGCAAUUGACGUUACCCGCAGAAGAAGCACCGGCUAACUCCGUGCCAGCAGCCGCGGUAAUACGGAGGGUGCAAGCGUUAAUCGGAAUUACUGGGCGUAAAGCGCACGCAGGCGGUCUGUCAAGUCGGAUGUGAAAUCCCCGGGCUCAACCUGGGAACUGCAUUCGAAACUGGCAGGCUAGAGUCUUGUAGAGGGGGGUAGAAUUCCAGGUGUAGCGGUGAAAUGCGUAGAGAUCUGGAGGAAUACCGGUGGCGAAGGCGGCCCCCUGGACAAAGACUGACGCUCAGGUGCGAAAGCGUGGGGAGCAAAC